UACCUGGUUGAUCCUGCCAGUAGUCAUAUGCUUGUCUCAAAGAUUAAGCCAUGCAUGUGCAAGUAUGAACCAAUUUGAACUGUGAAACUGCGAAUGGCUCAU
rfam:Hordeum vulgare subsp. vulgare, WGS project CAJW01000000 data, contig: morex_contig_482464